UACAGCAAUCUAUGUUUGCGCUGAGGAAAAGACUUCGAUAAUUCCCUGUGAGACGCAACCGUGCCCGUCUGGCUACAAGUGCCUGCGCAUUCGCUGUUUCACACAUCCUUGCCCUCAGAGCCACUGUGUGAAAGAGAAUUCAACGGGCAUAAAUUUGCAAAGCAAAGGAGGCAAAUGAAUUGAGGAAUAAAUAAAAACCAAACGUUU